rnacentral:rRNA from 1 species
GUGCCAGCAGCCGCGGUAAUACGGAGGGUGCGAGCGUUGUCCGGAAUCACUGGGCGUAAAGGGCGCGUAGGCGGCCUGGCAAGUCAAUGGUGAAAGCCCGAGGCUCAACUUCGGGUCGGCCACUGAUACUGCUAGGCUUGAGUCGACUAGAGGCAGAUGGAAUUCCGGGUGUAGCGGUGGAAUGCGUAGAGAUCCGGAAGAACACCGGUGGCGAAGGCGGUCUGCUGGGGUCGAACUGACGCUGAGGCGCGACAGCGUGGGGAGCAAACAGGAUUAGAAACCCCAGUAGUCC